rnacentral:piRNA from 1 species
UGGAUGUAUACGUGCAAAUCACAGGGCAUA